AAAUACUGUGGAUUCAUUAAUAUUCGUUGGAUACCAAUUUUCGUGGAAUUCGUGGGUACCGAUGAACCACGAAUUUAAAUGUUCAACGAAUAACAUAUUUUCAAUAGCUAUAUAUAGGCUUUGUAUAAAGAGAUAAGCAAAACCACGAAAUCAAAUAUCCACGAAUAUACAAGUUGUCAGCAAUCCACGAAAAUUGGUACCCACGAAAAUAAAUGAAUCCACAGUA
rnacentral:lncRNA from 1 species